UUGAGGUGAAAUGCUUACACUUUCAUUUAUAGACCAAAUUCAUGUUUAAUAUUUAAUUUAUAAUUAUAAUAUUAAAUCUUAAUCUAACCUAUGGCAUUCAUCAUUUACUGCAAAGACUACUUGGGUAUCUAAUCCUGUUUGUGCUCUGUGCCUUCGUCCUUUAACGUCAGUUUCUACAUAGAGGGCUGCCUUCGCCUUUACCGAGUCCCUUUGGUAUCAUAGAAUUUCAUCUCUCCUCCUCAAGUACUGCCCUCUUACAUAAAACUCUAGUCAAGUACUAACAUUCUAGAAGCUAUAUUGACCGUCUAGGUACCCUUUAAACCUAAUUAAGAUGAAUAACACUAGUCUCUUACGUAUUACCGCGACUGCUGGCACGCAAUUAGUCAAGACACGAUAUAUAUACUGUCAUUAUCAAUAUAUAAACAAAGCUUUAUUCAAUUUUAAUACAAUCCUAUAGAU
rnacentral:rRNA from 1 species